UCACCACAUUACUGUUUUUAACUGAAUUUCUGAUCAAAUAAAUGUGGCAUUGGUCAGUAUUAUAGAUAAUAAAAUAUACUAUAGAAUCCCAAAAUGCAAUGCCACAAACACUCCACAAUACUGAAAUAGCUGAACAUCUUUUUCUCUGACUCAGUUUCUGGGUGCACAGAUAUUUGUCUGGUUAAAAGCACAAAACAGAAGAUUAAUGACUUGUUUUGGCGAUCCUUUCUGAUGCAGGACAGUUCUAUGCGCCUGAUGAAUUUGAUAAGAGUGUGAUGGGUUUAAGCACAGACCUGGAAGUCACCGGAGACACCCCCGGAUCCAUCAAGGUCUGGGAUAUCUCAUGGAGAGAGCGUACCAGUCCAACCAAACUAGAGGAGCAGGGGAGGACAGAGCAAAGCCAAUCACGUGUCAGCGCUGGACGUUUUAUCUGCUGGGGUGAAAGUUCAGAAGUCGCUGGGACAUGCCUUAGUGCAGGUGAUAGUCAACAACCAGGUGGACUGAAACACUCACCCCGGACAUUUACAGUGACCACUUAAUGACCAGAAAUGUUUGGGGUCAGUAAGAUUUUUACUCUGCAAGGUUGCAUUAAAGUGAUCAGAAGUGACAUUUAGGCAUUUAUAAUGUUGCAAAAAUUCUAUUUAAAGAAAAUGCUAUGAAGCAGCACAGCUGUUUUCAACAUUGAUAAUAAUCAGGAAUGUUUCUUGAGCAGGAAAUCAGCAUAUUAGAAUGAUUUCUGAAGGAUCACGUGACACAUUCUACAAUGUAUACACAUAGAUUAAUGUAUAAAUUGUAAUAAUUCACAAUAUUGCAGUGUUUAUAUGAUGCAGCCUUGGGGAACCGAAGAGACUUCUUUCAAAAGCAUUACAAAAUCUUACCGAUCACUAAAUCUGCACUGACUUCUCACCUCAACAUCCAUUAUAGCAGCAUUACUUAAAAAGUAUGUGACUGUAAGACAGACAGAUAGACGGGAUCUGGCAGUUUGCUGAGCUGACUUCUCUCCCAGCCUGCACUAAGUCCUCGUCAUGCCAAAACCAGCGAUUAACUGAGCCUCCCUACAGAGCUGGGUGUGUUACUCGGCUCUUGCAGCUGUCUAGACACUCGUCGGAGAAUUAGAUGUCUGCUGAAGCUCAGACUUCCUCCAGUAUCUUCUUGAGCACUGAUCUUUCAUAGCAGCUGCACAGGGGAUUCUGGGACAACAUGUAGAGAAGAAAAAGUUUAAUUGAAAAAGUCACCCUUUUUUACUUUCAUGAUAAAUGUCCUUGGACAAAAAGAAAAUGCUUCAUUUCUCAGAAUUACUUAGAAACUAAUUUUCUUAUGAUGUGAAAAUGAAAAAUAAUAUUGAACAAAUAUUUAUACAUAUAAAUGUUUUCCAUCUUCCAAUGUAAUAAAAUCUGACUUUUGGCCUAAAGUGUGAUCCUAGCUUAUUUAGUCAAAAAUGGUCCAUUUAGACUAGAAAAUACACACACACACAAACACACACACACACACACACAAACAUACACACACACGUUUGUUUUUGUGUAAAGUGUGUUCAUCCCAUAGGUGUAAUGGUUUUUAUAAUGUCCUAUAAG
ensembl:lncRNA